rnacentral:rRNA from 1 species
GCUCGUAGUUGGAUUUCGGGAUGGGCCAGUCGGUCUGCCGCAAGGUAUGUUACUGGCUGGUCUGUCCUUCUUCGCAAAGACUGCGUGUGCUCUUAAUUGAGUGUGCGUAGGAUUUGCGACGUUUACUUUGAAAAAAUUAGAGUGUUCAAAGCAGGCUGUCCGCUUGAAUACAUGAGCAUGGAAUAAUGGAAUAGGACUUUGGUUCUAUUUUGUUGGUUUCUGGAACCGAAGUAAUGAUUAAGAGGGACAGUUGGGGGCAUUCGUAUUUCGUUGUCAGAGGUGAAAUUCUUGGAUUUACGAAAGACGAACAACUGCGAAAGCAUUUGCCAAGAAUGUUUUCAUUAAUCAAGAACGAAAGUUAGAGGCUCGAAGACGAUCAGAUACCGUCCUAGUUCUAACCAUAAACGAUGCCGACUAGGGAUCAGCGGGCGUUAUUUUAUGACCCCGUUGGCACCUUAUGGGAAACCAAAGUUUUUGGGUUCCGGGGGAAGUAUGGUUGCAAAGCUGAAACUUAAAGGAAUUGACGGAAGGGCACCACCAGGAGUGGAGCCUGCG